GCGAAGGUGGCGGAAUUGGUAGACGCGCUAGCUUCAGGUGUUAGUGCCCUUACGGACGUGGGGGUUCAAGUCCCCCCCCUCGCACCA
rnacentral:tRNA from 5 species